GGCCGCUUAGUUCAGUGGUAGAAUUCUUGCUUUGGGAGUCCUCAAUUGUAAGAGGUCCCCGGUUCGAUCCCGGGGGCGGCCC